rnacentral:rRNA from 1 species
GAUUGUGCCAGCCGCCGCGCGGUAAUACAGAGGGUGCGAGCGUUAAUCGGAUUUACUGGGCGUAAAGCGUGCGUAGGCGGCUUAUUAAGUCGGAUGUGAAAUCCCCGAGCUUAACUUGGGAAUUGCAUUCGAUACUGGUGAGCUAGAGUAUGGGAGAGGAUGGUAGAAUUCCAGGUGUAGCGGUGAAAUGCGUAGAGAUCUGGAGGAAUACCGAUGGCGAAGGCAGCCAUCUGGCCUAAUACUGACGCUGAGGUACGAAAGCAUGGGGAGCAAACAGGAUUAGAUACCCUGGUAGUCCAUGCCGUAAACGAUGUCUACUAGCCGUUGGGGCCUUUGAGGCUUUAGUGGCGCAGCUAACGCGAUAAGUAGACCGCCUGGGGAGUACGGUCGCAAGACUAAAACUCAAAUGAAUUGACGGGGGCCCGCACAAGCGGUGGAGCAUGUGGUUUAAUUCGAUGCAACGCGAAGAACCUUACCUGGCCUUGACAUACUAGAAACUUUCCAGAGAUGGAUUGGUGCCUUCGGGAAUCUAGAUACAGGUGCUGCAUGGCUGUCGUCAGCUCGUGUCGUGAGAUGUUGGGUUAAGUCCCGCAACGAGCGCAACCCUUUUCCUUACUUGCCAGCAUUUCGGAUGGGAACUUUAAGGAUACUGAAUC